GCAAACUUGGUCAUUUAGAGGAAGUAAAAGUCGUAACAAGGUUUCCGUAGGUGAACCUGCGGAAGGAUCAUUACAAAAGGCCUUUAAACCUUUUUUAAUUCACCCUCUGUGUGCACUCAAAUUGGCGUCUCAAUCUAAGGAUUGGAUCGCCAAUCUCUUUUUUUUCCAAAGCCUUAAUUUUUUUGUCUGACGUUAUUUUAAAAAAUAACAAGAAAUACAACUUUCAACAACGGAUCUCUUGGCUCUCGCAUCGAUGAAGAACGCAGC
rnacentral:misc_RNA from 1 species